GAUGAACGCUGGCGGCGUGCUUAAUACAUGCAAGUCGAGCGAACAGAUAAGGAGUUUGCUCCUUUGACGUUAGCGGCGGACGGGUGAGUUACACGUGUAUAACCUACCUAUAAGACUGGGAUCAUCACGGGAAACCGGAUCUAAUCCCGGAUAACAUCUUGAACCGCAUGGUUCAAUAGUGAAAGUCGGCUUUGCUGUCUCUUAUAGAUGGUUCUGGGCCGUAUUAGCUGGUUGGUAAGGUCACGGCUUACCAAGGCUACGAUACGUAGCCGACGUGAGAGGGUGAUCGGCCACACGGGAACGGAGACGCGGUCAAGACUCCUGCGGGAGGCAGCAGUAUGGAAUCGGCCGCAGUGGGCGGGAGCCUGGCGGAGCAAGGCCGAGUGAGUGAUGGAAGUCCUCCGAGCGUAAUACUCUGUUAUCGGGGAAAAACAAAUGUGUAAGUAAAUGUACACAGCUUGACGGUACCGGAUAAGAAAGCCACGGCUAACUACGUG
rnacentral:rRNA from 1 species